UGGGAGGUUCUCUUUCUGUCUGUCUUUCUGACUCCGUCUCUCCCAGCGCUUUGUUUCUACUCAGGGCCACAGCCUGCUGUCCUGGCCCCGUCGCAAGGGCUCCUAGCAGCACUGACCUCCAAGGAUGUUUCCAGGCAUUUCUCUAAAGGUGGACAUCAGUCCCCGGCCUUAGCCGCCCGCUAGAAAAAGUUACAGACUAGGUGGAGUAACUGAGGGCUGGAAAGGCUGAGACUCAUCUAAGGAAUCGCUGCUUCCAAGGGGCUGUUUUUCUCACCAAACUCCACUUAUUCUUUGUGAGCGAGCUGCUGCCCACCCGCCCCGGCGGGGGGCGCACGUAGAGCAGUCCGUGGGCUUGCAGGGCAGCUUCAGGGAGAUGCGCUCUCCUCUUCACCCCCGCCCCCCUGCGUCUCUGUGUUUUCUUGCUAAUGUGCUGCUCUCAACUAUAAUGGGAGGCCAGUUGCUCGUGUGUGUGUGGUCCCCCAGGGGAACCGUGGAAACAUUCCCUGUCCCAGUGCAGGAAUUUCCUGUUGGCCCUUCUUCCUUAUUAUGAGCGGCUACGAUGACAGAAUUUCCAACAGGUGGAAGCCAAAAAAACAAACAGACCUUUCAAUGUUGACUCUCCCAGGCACCGUGCAGAAGGACCGCAUCUGUCUUGCCUCCCAGAGAAAAUGUAAAUGACCUAUUUUUUUUAAAGCUACAGUUGUCUCUUGACCCAUUGGAAAAGAAAAAAGAAUCAAGACUACAACUGCUUAACGUUAUUUCAGGAAAAACAAUACAGAGGGUAUAAAACAGCUCACUAGACAGCAAUAAAAGAUGAGAUUUGUAGUAGGAUUUUGCUACUGAUUCAAGAGGUUGUGAGUCCUCCUAAGUCCCAUGGAAUCUCCUUGGUGACGCCUUUGGCCUGCCCCGUCUCCUUUCGCAGUUUGUCACCUGGGCUCAGGUUUCCUCGCCUCUUUCUGCACAAUGACCUGGACUGUAUACUUUUUUUUUGCGGUAAGCGGGCCCCUCACCGU